rnacentral:rRNA from 1 species
UACAGAGGGGGCGAGCGUUAUUCGGAAUUAUUGGGCGUAAAGGGCGCGUAGGCGGCUUUUCAAGUGACGGGUGAAAUCCCUCGGCUUAACCGAGGAACUGCCUGUCAGACUGGAAGGCUUGAGACCGGGAGAGGUGAGUGGAAUUCCCAGUGUAGCGGUGAAAUGCGUAGAUAUUGGGAGGAACACCAGUGGCGAAGGCGGCUCACUGGACCGGAACUGACGCUGAGGCGCGAAAGCGUGGGGAGCAAGCGGG